GACCUUCAGACACAAAAGGUUCCUACCACAGAGCAGAGUCUGCAGUGUCCAGCUGUCUGUCCAUGAAGAGCGACUGGUCUAAAGAUGAACCUCUAAGAUUCAGUACUGGACCUGGACCUUCAGACACAAAAGGUUCCUGCCACAGAGCAGAGUCUGCAGUGUCCAGCUGUCUGUCCAUGAAGAGCGACUGGUCUAAAGAUGAACCUCUAAGAUUCAGUACUGGACCUGGACCUUCAGACACAAAGGACAGGAAGAGCAGUCGAGGUGAUGUGAAGGAGC